rnacentral:tRNA from 1 species
GCUUGGGUGGCUCAGUUGGUUGGGCGUCUGCCUUCAGCUCAGGUCAUGAUCUCAUGAUUUGUGGGUUCGAGCCCCACAUCGGGCA